rnacentral:rRNA from 1 species
GAUGAACGCGGGCGGCGUGCCUAAUACAUGCAAGUCGAGCGAACGGACGAGAAGCUUGCUUCUCUGUUGUUAGCGGCGGACGGGUGAGUAACACGUGGAUAACCUACCUAUAAGACUGGGAUAACUUCGGGAAACCGUAGCUAAUACCGGAUAAUAUUUUGAACCGCAUGGUUCAAAAGUGAAAGAGGGUCUUGCUGUCACUUAUAGAUGGAUCCGCGCUGCAUUAGCUAGUUGGUAAGGUAACGGCUUACCAAGGCAACGAUGCAUAGCCGACCUGAGAGGGUGAUCGGCCACACUGGAACUGAGACACGGUCCAGACUCCUACGGGAGGCAGCAGUAGGGAAUCUUCCGCAAUGGGCGAAAGCCUGACGGAGCAACGCCGCGUGAGUGAUGAAGGUCUUCGGAUCGUAAAACUCUGUUAUUAGGGAAGAACAUAUGUGUAAGUAACUGUGCACAUCUUGACGGUACCUAAUCAGAAAGCCACGGCUAACUACGUG